AUUCAUUUUUGGUCACCUGUUUGAAACAUUCCUCCAUUUGAUUCUAAAAUAAGUUUGCUCAAAAUGAAUUCAACUGAUAUCACUGAGAUGGAGUUUUUUGAACAGUGGCUGCUUCCUCUGGACCAAAUACAAGACGGUCGGCUGAUUCGAAUCCGGGUGGUAAUGAUGGUGUGGCUCGUCAUUGCAAUCGCGAUCGGGGUGCCCGGAAACAUCUUAGUGAUCUCAGCCAUCGCUCUGGUGAAACACCUUCGCCAAGUACCACACAUGUUCCUCAUCAACCUCGCAGUGUGUGACCUUGGGGUCAUGAUCAUGGACGCAUUUGUACUCAGUGGGGUAUUCUAUGGAAACACCUUCCUCCCCAAGUACCCAAUGUUAUGUGA